GGGUCAUGAUAUACUGGAAACCACACAAGAUUAGUCUGGGGAGGCAGAAACCAUAAAGCCCCUGAGACUAGGUUCGGAGAGGAAAGAUAAAGGAAAGACCCCCUCUCAGCUUCACCCUUUACCUGUCUCAGAAACAACAGCCCAUUUUAACCACAGAUUUCUUCGCGUCUUCAGCAAGGGCGGGCCGCCGCAAUGCCUUACCCGACAUCCAGAGUUCACUGGCUACAGGUGGAUCCCCUGAUCUUGCACUGAAGCUGGAGGCAUUGGCUGUGAAGGAAGAUGCAAAAAUGAAGAAUGAAGAGAAAGACCAAGGCCAACCGAAAAAGCCC
rnacentral:lncRNA from 1 species